rnacentral:rRNA from 1 species
CUUCGGGCCUCUCGCGUCAGGAUAUGCCUAGGUGGGAUUAGCUAGUUGGUGAGGUAAGGGCUCACCAAGGCGACGAUCCCUAGCUGGUCUGAGAGGAUGAUCAGCCACACUGGAACUGAGACACGGUCCAGACUCCUACGGGAGGCAGCAGUGGGGAAUAUUGCACAAUGGGCGCAAGCCUGAUGCAGCCAUGCCGCGUGUGUGAAGAAGGCCUUCGGGUUGUAAAGCACUUUCAGUCGUGAGGAAGGUGGUGUAGUUAAUAGCUGCAUUAUUUGACGUUAGCGACAGAAGAAGCACCGGCUAACUCCGUGCCAGCAGCCGCGGUAAUACGGAGGGUGCGAGCGUUAAUCGGAAUUACUGGGCGUAAAGCGCAUGCAGGUGGUUUGUUAAGUCAGAUGUGAAAGCCCGGGGCUCAACCUCGGAAUAGCAUUUGAAACUGGCAGACUAGAGUACUGUAGAGGGGGGUAGAAUUUCAGGUGUAGCGGUGAAAUGCGUAGAGAUCUGAAGGAAUACCGGUGGCGAAGGCGGCCCCCUGGACAGAUACUGACACUCAGAUGCGAAAGCGUGGGGAGCAAACAGGAUUAGAUACCCUGGUAGUCCACGCCGUAAACGAUGUCUACUUGGAGGUUGUGGCCUUGAGCCGUGGCUUUCGGAGCUAACGCGUUAAGUAGACCGCCUGGGGAGUACGGUCGCAAGAUUAAAACUCAAAUGAAUUGACGGGGGCCCGCACAAGCGGUGGAGCAUGUGGUUUAAUUCGAUGCAACGCGAAGAACCUUACCUACUCUUGACAUCCAGAGAACUUUCCAGAGAUGGAUUGGUGCCUUCGGGAACUCUGAGACAGGUGCUGCAUGGCUGUCGUCAGCUCGUGUUGUGAAAUGUUGGGUUAAGUCCCGCAACGAGCGCAACCCUUAUCCUUGUUUGCCAGCGAGUAAUGUCGGGAACUCCAGGGAGACUGCCGGUGAUAAACCGGAGGAAGGUGGGGACGACGUCAAGUCAUCAUGGCCCUUACGAGUAGGGCUACACACGUGCUACAAUGGCGCAUACAGAGGGCAGCCAACUUGCGAAAGUGAGCGAAUCCCAAAAAGUGCGUCGUAGUCCGGAUUGGAGUCUGCAACUCGACUCCAUGAAGUCGGAAUCGCUAGUAAUCGUGGAUCAGAAUGCCACGGUGAAUACGUUCCCGGGCCUUGUACACACCGCCUGUCACACCAUGAGAGUGGGCUGCAAAAGAAGUAAGUAGUUUAACCUUCGGGGGGGACGCUUACCACUUUGUGGUUCAUGACUGGGGGUGA